rnacentral:rRNA from 1 species
UACGGGGGGAGUAAGCGUUGUUCGGAUUUACUGGGCGUAAAGGGCGCGUAGGCGGCCACCGCAAGUCGGUUGUGAAAUCUCUGGGCUUAACCCAGAAAGGUCAACCGAUACUGCGGGGCUAGAGUGCAGAAGGGGCAACUGGAAUUCUCGGUGUAGCGGUGAAAUGCGUAGAUAUCGAGAGGAACACCUGCGGCGAAGGCGGGUUGCUGGGCUGACACUGACGCUGAAGCGCGAAAGCUAGGGGAGCGAACGGG